UACCUACGGGGGGCAGCAGUGAGGAAUAUUGGUCAAUGGCCGAGAGGCUGAACCAGCCAAGUCGCGUGAGGGAUGACGGCCCUACGGGUUGUAAACCUCUUUUGUCGGGGAGCAAAGAGAGUCACGUGUGGCUCAUUGAGAGUACCCGAAGAAAAAGCAUCGGCUAACUCCGUGCCAGCAGCCGCGGUAAUACGGAGGAUGCGAGCGUUAUCCGGAUUUAUUGGGUUUAAAGGGUGCGUAGGCGGGAUGCCAAGUCAGCGGUAAAAAUGCGGUGCUCAACGCCGUCGAGCCGUUGAAACCGGCGU
rnacentral:rRNA from 1 species